ACUGUCCUACGGGACGCAGCAGUGAGGAAUAUUGGUCAAUGGCCGCAGGGCUGAACCAGCCAAGUCGCGUGAGGGAUGACGGUCCUAUGGAUUGUAAACUUCUUUUGUCGGGGAGCAAAAGUCGCCACGUGUGGCGUUCCGAGAGUACCCGAAGAAAAAGCAUCGGCUAACUCCGUGCCAGCAGCCGCGGUAAUACGGAGGAUGCGAGCGUUAUCCGGAUUUAUUGGGUUUAAAGGGAGCGCAGGCGGAAGAUCAAGUCAGC
rnacentral:rRNA from 1 species